ensembl:lncRNA
AGAGAUCGGCUUCAUGAAGAGCUGGCCACAUUUCCACACAAUUCAGUCCAGAUGCAAAGAUCAAAGUCAUCUGAACCCAGCUGUGUGUCCGUGAGGAGGAACCAGUCACUCUCUGAUCUUAGGUCUAGGUAAACACUGUACUAAACAUUUAUUGGUUCUUCAUAAGGUCUGUGAUCAAAUUAAAAAUGGUUAUUUUAUCUUGGUUGUAGUAAAAUUACAAAUGACAAAAGUCGUGAAUAUAAGAGUGUGUGUGAAUUACAUUAACUUGUCAUGUUCAUCUUCAAUGCACAGACUAGACCCUCCAGCACCCAGCUGUGUGUCCAUGAAGAGUGACUGGUCAAUGGAUCCUCCAUGUAACUUUAGUGGACACACUGAUCCUGGCUUUAGACUGGACCCACCAGAACUCAGCUGUGUGUCCAUGAAGAACGACCAGUCACUAGAUCCUCCUCAUAACUUUAGGGAACACACUGAUCUUGGGUCUAGGUAAAUACUCUACUAAUCCAUUUCUUUUAUUACAUCUGUGUUCAGACAAAGAAAGAAUUGUUCAUCAUUUAUGCUGUAAAGGGACUAAAGUGGCUGUAUGGAACAGAUUUCAGAAGAUGUUAAUUAAAAGAGAGAAGUUUUAUUUAUAUUGCACAAUUCGUGCCUUUCCACUAGUUCCAAGUCUUUUAACAAAAAAACACAUUGAAGUACAUUUAAAGGAAACAAAACACAAAAUAAGCACAAUAGCA